GAAGGAUAGUUCACUUUAACAUAGGACAUGGUUAUUCUUACAGUUAUGUACUGGGAUGAAUAAUCCAAAUCUGAAUGGGAUCCUAAUAAAUACCUUCAACAUUACUGUAAGCCAGUUUGAUGUGUAUUGUAUGAAGGACAACUUUGUGUUACGUAUUUACUUACCAUCUUCUUAUUAGUUUUAGCCAUAUGCAUGUUACAAGCUUGAUUGAUUCUCCCUCUCAAAUUACAAACACGUACUUGUAUGCAUAUAUGUAAUGCAUAUUACAUCAUUGUGUAGGUGCAUAUCAUUGAUUAUUUACUUAUUCAAUGCCCACUGGAAGACUUUGAGAGAAAUAAAAUAGUUUAGUUUUGAUAUGAGUAGGACAUAUAUGUUGCAUGACAUGUCUCAUAAGUCAUGGAGAUAAUUUUUCAUUGAUUCCCUUCAUCUGCGUCUGUUUUCUAUUUUGUGAUGUUCAGUAAGUUUAAUGUAAAAGUUUGUUAUGAACAUCAGUAAACCACCUAACUAUUAAGGAGAUUCUGUAUUGUCUAUUUUGCUUAUGGCUGACUUAUUUUGCUGCAG
rnacentral:misc_RNA from 1 species